rnacentral:rRNA from 1 species
CUUGCUUCUCUUGAGAGCGGCGGACGGGUGAGUAAUGCCUAGGAAUCUGCCUGGUAGUGGGGGAUAACGUCCGGAAACGGACGCUAAUACCGCAUACGUCCUACGGGAGAAAGCAGGGGACCUUCGGGCCUUGCGCUAUCAGAUGAGCCUAGGUCGGAUUAGCUAGUUGGUGGGGUAAUGGCUCACCAAGGCGACGAUCCGUAACUGGUCUGAGAGGAUGAUCAGUCACACUGGAACUGAGACACGGUCCAGACUCCUACGGGAGGCAGCAGUGUGGAAUAUUGGACAAUGGGCGAAAGCCUGAUCCAGCCAUGCCGCGUGUGUGAAGAAGGUCUUCGGAUUGUAAAGCACUUUAAGUUGGGAGGAAGGGCAGUAAAUUAAUACUUUGCUGUUUUGACGUUACCGACAGAAUAAGCACCGGCUAACUCUGUGCCAGCAGCCGCGGUAAUACAGAGGGUGCAAGCGUUAAUCGGAAUUACUGGGCGUAAAGCGCGCGUAGGUGGUUCGUUAAGUUGGAUGUGAAAUCCCCGGGCUCAACCUGGGAACUGCAUUCAAAACUGACGAGCUAGAGUAUGGUAGAGGGUGGUGGAAUUUCCUGUGUAGCGGUGAAAUGCGUAGAUAUAGGAAGGAACACCAGUGGCGAAGGCGACCACCUGGACUGAUACUGACACUGAGGUGCGAAAGCGUGGGGAGCAAACAGGAUUAGAUACCCUGGUAGUCCACGCCGUAAACGAUGUCAACUAGCCGUUGGGAGCCCUUGAGCUCUUAGUGGCGCAGCUAACGCAUUAAGU